rnacentral:lncRNA from 1 species
CUCCCAAGUCGCUGGGAUUACAGGUGCCUGCCACCAUGCCCAGUCCUUCUGACCCUCGUGGCUUCUCCUGCUCCAAGGCCAAGCUCGGGACCCUGUCAUCAUCCCCGGGGACAGGCCCCAUCUUAGAGAGGAUCCACCCAGCUCCCCGCUCCUGAGCCAUCUUCCAGCUAUCCCGCCUCGAGACUCCCACCGCACCUGCUCCUGGGCUGCAGCUGCACCCAACAAGUCAACAUGUGGAUUGCUUCUAGAAUUUGGAUAUUAUGAACACUGCUGUGCUGAACAUUCUUGUACACUUAUAUGGUUUGGCUGUGUCCCCACCCAAAUCUCAUCUUGAAUUGUAGCUCCCAUAAUUCCUAUGUGUCGUGGG